AUCUAUUUAUCACAAAUACCUUAAUUAUAGCGACGCUUUCGAUUGCCAUCUUGAAAGUUAGUAACAGGUAUAAUAGAUAGCGUGAACGCAAAUUAGUGGCUUCGUCUAACAUAAAUCAAAAGGAACAUUACUAUAGGUAAAGAUAAACCGUACGUAGAUCAUUAAAAUUCAGCAACGACUACUUUGGAUCUCAUAAAAUUGAACUUCCAGAAAGAGACGUGACUUGGGAAAAUACUGUCGGUUGUUGCGAAGUGUCUAUUUGGAGUGAAUCAUUUUCAUGGCGUACAAUAUCAAUCAUCUUCUUUAUUAUUGAUUUUUCCAGGUCGGUGCGGUUUUGAAGGACUGCUUCAACCAAGGACAAAGGUGCAUCCCAGUAUGCUUCUUUCAGCAAAUGAAAGUAUUCGGAGACAGUUUCCACAUCGGCGUCUAACAUUCCCAAUAGUAAUUUUUCAAUGGGCUCAAACGUAGAUCGCAAAUGUUCCGCAGCCAUGUAUUCUCCAAACACCCUUAUAGCUAAAGCAAUAUCAGAACGAAUUUGUUGUAUAGCAUUAUCUCCAUCGAAACAUGCAUUCUUGUUAAAUAUACUUCGUAAAUAACUGAUGGUAAGCGCAUUUGAAGCUUCCAAUAAAAAGACAUCGAAUAAACCGGGAACCAUAUGUUCGAUACAAUCAACGAUAUAAUCCCUAAAGGUGUCAACAAUAAGCUUCAUAUUGCUAGAUUGAUACCAGUUUGGUUGAAAAAGUGAAGUGAGAGCGGGCUUAACGUCGUUACUUAUAAUGGCGACAAUCUGGCUGACGCCAAUAUCGCUAAUUAAUAUAUACCCAUCAACGGUUUUGCCAAAUGCUUCUCUUAAAUCUUCCUCUCGUUCACUGGUAAUCAGUUCAAAGGUGUUGAGCAAAGUGUUAUCCAUAAAGCCAGCACACUUUAAAUUAUCAUUAGCUACUGCAAGUAAGUACUCCAUUAAUCCUGGGGGAACUGAUUCCGGGUUGCCAGAUAAUUGCUGUGAAAGUUCGGAGCGCAUAACUGAUUUCCAUUGAUCCUGCAUAGAUUGCAUAAUAUACAUAAUUGAACUUAACACGAUGCCGACGACGUCAGAAUUAUUAGUAUGAGAAAUAAUAUUGAUUUGUUGAGUAAUCAUUUGGAAAAAGAUGAUAGUACCUUGAAGACCAUAGUUUCCAUCACUAUCUAGUUCAGGUUCACUUUCACGUUUCAUAAAUGUGUCAACGCUGCUCUGGAACAG